rnacentral:tRNA from 1 species
GCGGGAGUAAGUCAGUGGUGGAAUGCCAGCUUCCCAAGCUGGACGUCGCGGGUUCGAGCCCCGUCUCCCGCUCCA